rnacentral:lncRNA from 1 species
AUGAGAUCUGUGGAUGGGAACAUGUCUCCAGUCGAGGUGUUGAUGAAGGAAGUUCAGAAAUGCUCAGACAAAUGGAGCAAGCAGACACAUGAAUCCACGUCGCCCUGGCCUUCAGAGGGGACAUUUGAUCUGAGGCAGUGUGCAGAGAUGCAGGGUUUUAUAAAAACCUAUAAGAUAAAAGACAAAUCUGUAAAGCGAGGCCUUAAACGGGAAAAAGAAAAUGCAGUGUUGCAAUUGUUUAUUAACUGUGCAAAAAUGAUGGGCAAAAAGACGACUCAAUGUGGUGAUAAUCAAUUUAAUCAGAUCUCUAAAACUAAGUCUCUUUCAGAUGCAUCCCAGAUGAAUGCAGAAGAAACAAAACCAUUAUGGACAAAGAAGCCAGUUCACCCUGUAGCUGAUCUAGAAGGGACAGACAGGGCAGUGAAAAGGGAUGAGUUGUUAGAACUGCCCGACAUUUAUUUAAACACAGAGAAAAUUUCAAUUGGAAAUUCCUGCAGUGAAAGUGAUCUGCGUGACAGAGCAGUUAGAUCACUGUGGGCUGAGUCAGAUGAGGAAUCAGUGUGUGUGGGUGACGAACGGGUAAAUGAGGUUUCUGAUGGACUUCCUCUGCUGAUCAAAAGGGCAAAGUGUCAAAAUCUGCCCUGGCCUUCAAGACCAGAUCAGAAUGAUCUGAAUGACACUGUGGAACUUUGCAACUUGUCACUAGAACAAAUAACUGAGCAUGUGAUUCAUGCUGUUGAGCUGCGUCAGAAGCAGGCACGCUGGCUGGUUGAGCAGACACCAUCCUCCUCUCUCUUUUCUCCCCCUCUUUUCGCUGCUGCUGGCGUGUUGCUUCUUUCACUGCCUCCUUUGCCUGCUUCUGACGCAGCUCAACAGCAUGAAUCACAUGGUCAGUUAUUUGGUCUAGUGACAAGUUGCAAAGUCCCACAGUGUCAGUCAGAUCAUUCUGAUCUGGUCUUGAAGGCCAGGGCAGAUUUUGACGCUUUGCCUCUUCGACCAGCAGAGGAAGUCCAUCAGAAACCUCAUUUACCCGUUCAUCACCCACACACACUGAUUCCUCAUCUGACUCAGCCCACAGUGAUCUAACUGCUCUGUCACGCAGAUCACUUUCACUGCGAGAAUUUCCAAUUGAGAUUUUCUCUGUGUUUAAAUAAAUGUCGGGCAGUUCUAACA